rnacentral:rRNA from 1 species
UACGUAGGGCGCAAGCGUUGUCCGGAAUUAUUGGGCGUAAAGAGCUCGUAGGCGGCUUGUCACGUCGAUUGUGAAAGCCCGAGGCUUAACCUCGGGCCUGCAGUCGAUACGGGCUAGCUAGAGUGUGGUAGGGGAGAUCGGAAUUCCUGGUGUAGCGGUGAAAUGCGUAGGUAUCGUAAGGAAGACCAGUGGCGAAGGCGGGUCUCUGGACAGUUCCUGACGCUGAGGCACGAAGGCCAGGGGAGCAAACGGG